UACGAAGGGGGCUAGCGUUGUUCGGAUUUACUGGGCGUAAAGCGCACGUAGGCGGAUCGUUAAGUCAGGGGUGAAAUCCUGGAGCUCAACUCCAGAACUGCCUUUGAUACUGAAGAUCUUGAGUCCGGGAGAGGUGAGUGGAACUGCGAGUGUAGAGGUGAAAUUCGUAGAUAUUCGCAAGAACACCAGUGGCGAAGGCGGCUCACUGGCCCGGUACUGACGCUGAGGCACGAAAGCGUGGGGAGCAAACAGG
rnacentral:rRNA from 1 species